AAAGGUUCCAUCGGUAUGGGAUGGGGUCGCGUCCUAUCAGCUUGAUGGCGGGGUAACGGCCCACCAUGGCUUCGACGGGUAGCCGGCCUGAGAGGGCGACCGGCCACAUUGGGACUGAGAUACGGCCCAGACUCCUACGGGAGAUAGCAGUGGGGAAUAUUGCACAAUGGCCGCAAGCCUCAUGCAGCAACGCCGCGUGCGGGAUA
rnacentral:rRNA from 1 species